rnacentral:rRNA from 1 species
GCCUGGCCCUAAAUCUUGAUACUUACCCUACCGAAGUAUCCGCCAGAGAACUACGAGCACAAACGCUUAAAACUCUAAGGACUUGGCGGUGCCCUAAACCCACCUAGAGGAGCCUGUUCUAUAAUCGAUGAUCCACGAUCAACCCAACCGCCCCUUGCCCAACACAGCCUACAUACCGCCGUCGCCAGCCCACCUCGAGUGAGAGCACAACAGUGGGCACAACAGCACCCCGCUAAUAAGACAGGUCAAGGUAUAGCCCAUGGGGCGGAAGAAAUGGGCUACAUUCCCUAUGCAUAGGGCAACACGGAAAGAAGCGUGAAACUGCUUCUAGAAGGAGGAUUUAGCAGUAAAGCGGGAUAAUAAAGCCCACUUUAAGCCGGCCCUAGGGC